GCCCUUAUGGCUCAACGGUAGAGCGACUGCUUCGUAAGCAGUAGGUUGAGGGUUCAAAUCCCUCUAAGGGCU
rnacentral:tRNA from 1 species